rnacentral:rRNA from 1 species
CCCUUAGAUGUUCUGGGCCGCACGCGUGCUACACUGAGUGGAUCAGCGGGUCAGGCUGCGCGAAAGCGUUUCCUAAUCUUUAAAUCCGCUCGUGAUGGGGAUUGACGGUUGCAAUUUUCUGUCAUGAACGAGGAAUACCUUGUAAUCGCGAUUCAUCAUAUCGCGCUGAAUACGUCCCUGCCCUUUGUACACACCGCCCGUCGCUCCUACCGAUUGAGCGAUCCGGUGAAUGUUUUGGACUGGCGUCAGAAGCGGUUCGCUCCUGACACUACGAAAUUUUGUAAACCUUAUCGCUUAGGGGAAGGAAAAGUCGUAACA